rnacentral:rRNA from 1 species
GGAGGAAUAUUGGUCAAUGGGGCGCAAGCCUGAACCAGCCAAGUCGCGUGAGGGAAGACGGUCCUAUGGAUUGUAAACCUCUUUUGUCAGGGAGCAAGCGCGGGACGCGUCCCGUCGUUGAGAGUACCUGAAGAAAAAGCAUCGGCUAACUCCGUGCCAGCAGCCGCGGUAAUACGGAGGAUGCGAGCGUUAUCCGGAUUUAUUGGGUUUAAAGGGUGCGUAGGCGGACCGUUAAGUCAGUGGUAAAAUUGAGAGGCUCAACCUCUUCCGGCCAUUGAAACUGGCGGACUUGAGUGAGCGAGAAGUAUGCGGAAUGCGUGGUGUAGCGGUGAAAUGCGUAGAUAUUCGGAGGAACACCAGUGGCGAAGGCGGCUUGCUGGG